UUUUGCUAGAAAUAUGAUAACAUAUAUUUAUGUUAACCAUUAAAUUAAAAGUAAUAAAUUGUAACUUUUAUUGAUAAAAGUACUUUAUAAUGUUUAUAAUUUUCAUUUAAAUUAUUAAAAUUUAUUAUAUAAUUAAACGGGGCUAGUUAAUAGGCCAAACUAUAUUUAUAAAAAAUUGAAUAAAAAGUAUCAAAAUUGUAUUUUGAAUCCAAAAUGUUUAGCAAAGCCCGAAUUUUCUGAUAUGGUCGAAGCCCAGUCGAUUGUUUGGUUCAGUUUUCAAUAGAGUCCAGUUUUUUUUGCCAUGUUUCAAACAACUUUACAAUUUCUGAAAAAUUAGACUCAAAUGGCGAUUGAAGCAGAAGAAAUGGGAAUUCCACGAUUCGACAUUUUAGUGAUUACCUUAAUAUAUUUUCACGCAGAUGACCAGGCCAGCUUAAAAGACACAAGUCUUACCGUAGUUUUUUUUUUGACGAAAAGUCUUACCGUAGUUUUGUUAAAGUCUCCGUCUUUCUAUGCGGAAAUCUGAAAAUUUUUAUUUGAAUCCAAAGAGAAAAAAAAAGAAAACUUUUUCGUCAUCUCCAAGGUUUGCUCCUUUCCUGUAUUUUCUUCAUAGUUGAUAGAUAUAGUUGUCAACCAUGAUUCUACUUAACCAAUAUUAUUUUUGAUUUAUUUUGCAUGUCCUGUCCGAUGGCUUAAAAGAACCUGUUCAAGUAAGGUCGUUCGAUUUAGUAUUCAUCGGAGUAAUCUCUAAAGGUUUGUCUUCGAUUGCCAGUAAAUCGUUCAUACCUUUUUUUUAUCGAUCUUUUUUCUCUAGAAACUUAUUUAUACCAAAUUUUUAUUAUUUAACAUUUAGUUUGUAUAAUAUAUAAAUAGCUAAUAUAAAUAUCUUAGAUAAUUUAAAAUUUAGUAAUUAGUAAAAUUAAUCUUUGCUAUAAAUAUAUUAUCUAUAUAAGGACUUCAUCCGAUCAUUCAUGGUAAAUCCUCAGUUACAUCUGUUUAAUCUUAUUGAUCUGCCAUAGCUAUCUCGUUCUCUUUGAAAGUGUUUUUAUGAAGAUCAAACAUAAAUCACAUCUAACUUUUUUUUAAAUCUGUCUUGCAUGUUGGAUCCGAUCACUUUCUUGCUUAUUCCGAUGAGAUGGAAACUUGUUGCGAUGACUUCUUAGUAAAUAAUUUCUUCUUGAAAGUUUAAGCCGUACAAAUGAAUAUGGCCACCAAUACUCGAAAGGUAUUAAAAAGUGUUGUCAUCCACUCUGUGCACAACAAAAAUUCAUUUUAAGAUAAGUGUUUGGAUGAAUACCAUCAUACUAUAUAAUAUCUAUUCAUUGUUAAGAAUAUAUACUACGGAAAUCUAAUGUUUAUUUUUUUUUACAGAUUACAUAUGUAAGGAAAACAAAUAAGGAGAUUAGGAAUGGAACUGUAUCUAACAUAAAUCAGGUUUGUACGACUUUGGCUUGGAUAACACACGUUGUUUUCCAUGGCAUGAUCUUAUCAAGCUUGAUGCAAAUGGAAUACUUGGAGUUUACGAUAACAAAAAUUGAAGCUUCCAUAUGAACCCAAAUAUUCUAUACUGUGAGUUUAUCAUCGAUUGUAAUACAAAUGGAUGAAAUAUUGAUGUUAAUGUAUAGUUUUAACAUUGAAACCUGCAUAAUCCAAAAUUAGUGAGGAGACAACAAAUGAAUUUAAAUGUUCAAGAGUCAGUGUUGAUGGAACAUGAUCUAAAUUUCAGUAUACAAUUUUUUAAACAUAUACAUGAUCGAAAAAGUGUAUUUAACCUUCCUUGAUGGCUAAAAUCGAAGGAAUAACUUUGAUAUGUGUAUUCUAUGGUUAUCAAAAUUGUUAACGUGGUAUAGUGUUGGUGUAAAUACGUAGACAUGUUAAUUAAGUAAACUAAAAGAAAAAGGAUAAAAUAAAAUUUCUGUUGAAUUAAAAGGCGUGGAUAAUAUCUAAAAUAAAAAAACUUAGG